rnacentral:rRNA from 1 species
CCUACGGGAGGCAGCAGUGGGGGAUAUUGCACAAUGGGGGGAACCCUGAUGCAGCGACGCCGCGUGGGUGAAGGAGUGCUUCGGCAUGUAAAGCCCUAUCGGCAGGGAAGAAGCAAGACGGUACCUGACUAAGAAGCUCCGGCUAACUACGUGCCAGCAGCCGCGGUAAGACGUAGGGGGCGAGCGUUAUCCGGAUGCACUGGGUGUAAAGGGAGCGUAGACGGCCAUGCAAGCCAGGGGUGAAAGCCCGGGGGCCAACCCCGGGACUGCCCUUGGAACUGCAUGGCUGGAGUGCGGGAGGGGCAGGCGGAAUUCCUGGUGUAGCGGUGAAAUGCGUAGAUAUCAGGAGGAACACCGGCGGCGAAGGCGGCCUGCUGGACCGCGACUGACGUUGAGGCUCGAAAGCGUGGGGAGCGAACAGGAUUAGAUACCCCUGUAGUC